rnacentral:lncRNA from 1 species
CCAAUGAAAUCUCCUCUGCUCUCUGAUUUGGCGGUUCUUCUGAGCAAAUAUGACAGCCUUUUCUCCAGGCUCCUUUCUGCUCCUCCACGUCCAUCCCCAGAGCCUAGCUCUCCAUCUGCAGUUUCUACACCAGAACCUUUACAAUUACCCAGUCCCAUUUCUGCAAGUACAUGAUUACUAUAAAGGUGACAUGACACAUUGGGAAGAACACAAUGUUGCUUCUAGAUUGCCGAAGAUGCUUAAGCUCAAUUUUCCAAGACCCUGCAACAGGAAUUUCCACAUACAAACGGGACUCAUUCUGAUGGACAGUGUUUGGGGUUAGUCUAACAAGCAAAUAGCUUGGCUAUGUUUUUCCCUUUUCCUUUUUUCUUAAAGUUUGGUAUCACAGCUGUGUUAAAAUCUUCCUUUUCUAGCAGGGAUGGUGUUAUCCACAGCCUGAAAACUUUUACUGCUGCAGAGUCUAAAAUAUUUAAAAUACAGUACAGAGCUCUUUUUCAAACAGGGAGUGCAAAGAAGGAGGGGGUAGGGAAUGAAACACCGGGUGCCCUGCAAAAUGUUAAGCAGCUGCAAUGGCGAUAAAUCAGUGUUAAGCAUGCAGAAGAAAAAGGCCACUGGGACACAUGUUUACUUAGAGAAGCAUUUAGUGUAUGUGUAUUCCUCCUACCAGGAGGUAAUGCUGAGAUCCUUUUUGGAGGUAACCUCUAACACAAAGAGGACCUAAACAUUUCAACUGCCUUCUACCUCAGGGUGCAUUUCGACAAACAGCUUAAGCUUCCUCCUUCCACAGCCUAAGCUGGAUGCUGGAGUCUAAGGCGGAGAUGAGAUUCUAGAAUGCAAGCACAAAGUGAAACUUUUAUCAGACUCUUCUCUGUGCAUGAAGCUCCAAAUUAUUUGAAUCCAUGGCCCAUUGUGUGGGAAAGGGUAGUCUAGGAAUACUCAAAAAUUCUUUCACUCUGUAAAGAAACCUAAUUUCUUAGAUGUUAAGUGAACUAAUCACAUACUCAUGGGAAUUCACAUAAUUUCUCAGAUCAUAUACUUCACCCUGUUCUUAAGCUAGAAGGGUCUUUCAAGGGAAGGGUGGAAAUGCCAACACAUUCUAAAAAAAUGAUAUCCUGGAGCCCCCACAACACAGGACAGUUUCCUCAAGAAAUGUGAUUUACCCUCUAUUUAAUGAGAGUGACUGAGAUCACUGUGAUGCAGAAAGCAGUGGUCUGCCAAGCAAGACUCAAACUGAG